GCCCAUUUUACAUGCAAGUCGAAACGGUAACGCGGGGAGAAGCUUGCUUCUCUCCGGCGACGAGUGGCGAACGGGUGACCAUACAUCGGAACGUGUCCGCUCGUGGGGGACAACCAGCCGACUGGUUGGCUAAUACCGCAUGAGUUCUACGGAAGAAAGAGGGGGACCCGCAAGGGCCUCUCGCGAGCGGAGCGGCCGAUGACUGAUUAGCCGGUUGGUGAGGUAACGGCUCACCAAAGCAACGAUCAGUAGCUGGCCUGAGAGGACGACCAGCCACACUGGGACUGAAACACGGCCCAGACUCCUACGGGAGGCAGCAGUGGGGAAUUUUGGACAAUGGGCGCAAGCCUGAUCCAGCUAUUCCGCGUGUGGGAUGAAGGCCCUCGGGUUGUAAACCACUUUUGUAGAGAACGAAAAGACACCUUCGAAUAAAGGGUGUUGCUGACGGUACUCUAAGAAUAAGCACCGGCUAACUACGUGCCAGCAGCCGCGGUAAUACGUAGGGUGCGAGCGUUAAUCGGAAUUACUGGGCGUAAAGGGUGCGCAGGCGGUUGAGUAAGACAGAUGUGAAAUCCCCGAGCUUAACUCGGGAAUGGCAUAUGUGACUGCUCGACUAGAGUGUGUCAGAGGGAGGUGGAAUUCCACGUGUAGCAGUGAAAUGCGUAGAUAUGUGGAAGAACACCGAUGGCGAAGGCAGCCUCCUGGGACAUAACUGACGCUCANGCACGAAAGCGUGGGGAGCAAACAGGA
rnacentral:rRNA from 1 species